rnacentral:rRNA from 1 species
GAUGAACGCUGGCGGCGUGCCUAACACAUGCAAGUCGAGCGGAGAUACUAAUUAGUUUACUAAGAAGUAUCUUAGCGGCGGACGGGUGAGUAACACGUGGGUAACCUGCCUUACAGAGGGGAAUAACAGUGCGAAAGUACUGCUAAUACCGCAUAACAUUGCGUUGUCGCAUGGCAAUGCAAUCAAAGGAGUAAUCCGCUGUAAGAUGGGCCUGCGUCUGAUUAGCUAGUUGGGGAGGUAAAAGCUCACCAAGGCGACGAUCAGUAGCCGAUCUGAGAGGAUGAACGGCCACACUGGAACUGAGACACGGUCCAGACUCCUACGGGAGGCAGCAGUGGGGAAUAUUGCACAAUGGGGGAAACCCUGAUGCAGCAACGCCGCGUGGAGGAUGAAGGUCUUCGGAUUGUAAACUCCUGUCUUUUGGGACGUAAAGAAAUGACGGUACCAAAGGAGGAAGCCACGGCUAACUACGUGCCAGCAGCCGCGGUAA